UACAGAGGUCUCAAGCGUUUGUUCGGAAUCACUGGGCGUAAAGGGUGUGUAGGCUGCGUGUUAAGUCAGAUGUGAAAUCCCGGGGCUCAACCUCGGAACUGCAUCCGAUACUGGCAUGCUAGAGAAUUGGAGAGGAGUCUAGAAUUCACGGUGUAGCAGUGAAAUGCGUAGAUAUCGUGAGGAAUACCAAGUGCGAAGGCAGGACUCUGGACAUUUUCUGACGCUGAGACACGAAGGCUAGGGGAGCAAACGGG
rnacentral:rRNA from 1 species